UACGUAGGGUGCAAGCGUUAAUCGGAAUUACUGGGCGUAAAGCGUGCGCAGGCGGCCUUGCAAGACAGAUGUGAAAUCCCCGGGCUUAACCUGGGAACUGCAUUGGUGACUGGCAGGCUUUGAGUGUGGCAGAGGGAGGUAGAAUUCCACGUGUAGCAGUGAAAUGCGUAGAGAUGUGGAGGAAUACCGAUGGCGAAGGCAGCCUCCUGGGCCAACACUGACGCUCAUGCACGAAAGCGUGGGGAGCAAACAGG
rnacentral:rRNA from 1 species